UACUCUCGGAAGGUUGCAGGGAUACUCC
rnacentral:piRNA from 1 species